UAAACUUUUUGCAUUUAUGUUGACAGAUAUACUCCUAGGUAUUUUAUUCUAUCUCUGAUUAGUUUAAAUGGAUUUUCUCUCAUUAUCUUCUUGCAGAAUGUCGUCGGUGAUAAAAAACUGAUAAAUAGAAAGAAAAUCCCUGAUUAGAAUUCUCAGCUUUGUUGUGGGCAUGGAAAUGGAAAAUGUCACUGAAUUCUGAGGGACUAAGUGUGGCUCAUAAGAAUUCACGCCUGCUCUGUUUACCCAGAGGGAUUUCAAAAGCAACCUUCUUCAAAGGAUGUAACAACAAAGAAAACUUCACAUGUCAACCCUUUGUUAUUAGAAAUUCAAGCAUAAAAUGAAGUAGUUCAAAGUGUUUGACAUCAUCAUGGAGGAUAGACCCGAAUCCAACAGGGAACCCGAAGGAAUGUUGUAAAGAAGAUUGUGUUCAUUGCAUCAAGCCCUAGAACAUCACAGACUACCCUAAAUGAGAAUGAAAUCUGAAUAUGAUUUCAGUAAAAUAUUGCAGAGGGGGGUGAAAGCAACAUUGCCUUAUAAAAGUAAUAAGCCAUAAUCGUUCAAAAGACAUCACUCUAUUAAUUCAACAAAAGCAAAGUAAAGAAUGUUCAUUGUCCAUAUAUUGUUAAUAUUUAUCUGUGUGUGUAUAUAAUCACAUUUGUAUGUAUUUAUAAGGAUAAUCAUCAAUCUGAUUCAUGAAUACAUUCUUUUGGACAGAUUUUUAUUCAUUGGCAAUUAGCAAGGUAUAAAACUGAACUUGAGAAACAGCUCUUGAGAUCUUGAGCUCUUGAGCUCAAGCAGAACUUGAAAUGCUCUUGGUAAAAAAUAUUUUAAUCACCUCAAACUUAUCCUUGAAACAAAGGCCCAGAUUUCUAGCAAUAUUAUUCCUUUGGUGAUAUGGUAUCAUUACAGAUCAUAGAAUAAUAUUGCAUCCAAAUAUUUAAGAUGAGGAUAACCCAAAGGGCAAAGGAAAUACAGAUGGGUUUAUGUGGGCUGAAUAAGCAAAGAAUAAAAUAAGACAAGUGGCAUUAUGCA
rnacentral:lncRNA from 1 species